rnacentral:rRNA from 1 species
CGUCUAUAUACGUAUAGCAUAUCAAUAAGCGGAGGAAAAGAAACUAACUAGGAUUCCCUUAGUAACGGCGAGUGAAGCGGGAAGAGCUCAAAUUUGAAAUCUUCAAGGUUCUACCUUGACGAAUUGUAGUUUAAAGAAGUGUUUUCUGUUGGAGUUUUGGUAAAAGUUCUUUGGAAUAGGACAUCAUAGAGGGUGAGAAUCCCGUAUUUGACCAUUAUUUCCAACUUUGUGAUACACUUUCAAAGAGUCGGAUUGUUUGGGAAUGCAGUCCAAAAUGGGUGGUAAAUUUCAUCUAAAGCUAAAUAUUGGCGAGAGACCGAUAGCGAACAAGUACCGUGAGGGAAAGAUGAAAAGAACUUUGAAAAGAGAGUUAAACAGUACGUGAAAUUGUCAAAAGGGAAGCGUUUGACACCAGUGUUGUUUUCUCGAAAAUCAAUUAAAAAUGGUGGGAUGUUGUGUUGUAUUGACUUUAUCAGCUUUCUGCACUUUUUUUCCUAUCUUUUUUAAUGCACUUUUCGUUUAACAAGUCAACAUCAAUUUCUUUUGUUGUAAAAGAGUCAUUGGAAGGUGGCUUUCUUUUCGGAGAAAGUGUUUAUAGCCUUUGGCUUCUGCAAUCGGAGAGAUUGAGGUCUGCAGCGUAGAUCCUUCGGGGUUAGAUGCAUUUGUGCUAAGUUAUAGCCUUUCAUAGACAACUUGUUGACUAUGAUCAGUCAUGUAGCUUACUCGCUUAUGUCAUUUUACCUACGCUUAGGAUGUUGAUAUGCAUGACUGAUAU